ACGAACGCUGGCGGCAGGCUUAACACCUGCAAGUCGAACGCGUGCAGCAAUGCACGAGUGGCGCACGGGUGAGUAACGAGUGGAUAUCUGCCUUUUGGUUCGGAAUAACCCCGGGAAACUGGGGCUAAUACCGGAUGGUUCCUACGGGAUAAAGAUUUAUCGCCAAAAGAUGAGUCCGCGUCCGAUUAGCUAGUUGGUGAGGUAAUGGCUCACCAAGGCGACGAUCGGUAGCUGGUCUGAGAGGACGAUCAGCCACACUGGGACUGAGACACGGCCCAGACUCCUACGGGAGGCAGCAGUGGGGAAUAUUGGACAAUGGGGGCAACCCUGAUCCAGCCAUGCCGCGUGAGUGAUGAAGGCCUUCGGGUUGUAAAGCUCUUUUGGCGGGGACGAUGAUGACGGUACCCGCAGAAUAAGCCCCGGCUAACUUCGUG
rnacentral:rRNA from 1 species